GGCAGAUUUGGACACAUUGCUAGAAAUUGUAAAAAUGCAGUUGAUCCAUCUUUUGGAGAAGAAGGGCAUGAGGAAGAAGAAAAUACAGUAGAGGCACAAGAUGGACCCUCUAGGGCAAGGAGUGCACCCAAAGGGAAGAAAGGGAAGGUAAGAACUGAAGAAAGAUUGGAGAAAAACUCUAGGGGAAAGAAUCCACCUAAAAGGAAGAAACCAAUUGAAGAUGGUCCAUCCAAAGGGAAGAAAAGGAAGGGAGGAACUGAAGAUAGUCCAGCCAAGAACACUAGGAGCAAGCAAGUCAAAAUUGCAAAAAAUACAAGAAGCAAGA